rnacentral:rRNA from 1 species
CACGUAGGGGGCAAGCGUUGUCCGGAUUUAUGGGGCGUAAAGAGCUCGUAGGCGGCUCAGUAAGUCGGGGGGGAAACCUCCAGGCUCAACCUGGAGACGCCACCUGAUACUGCUGUGGCUAGAGUCCGGUAGGGGAGCGUGGAAUUCCUGGUGUAGCGGUGAAAUGCGCAGAUAUCAGGAGGAACACCAGCGGCGAAGGCGGCGCUCUGGGCCGGAACUGACGCUGAGGAGCGAAAGCGUGGGGAGCAAACAGG